UUCGAUGUCGAUUUGGAGGUUGUGCCCUUGAGGCGUGGCUUCCGGAGCUAACGCGUUAAAUCGACCGCCUGGGGAGUACGGCCGCAAGGUUAAAACUCAAAUGAAUUGACGGGGGCCCGCACAAGCGGUGGAGCAUGUGGUUUAAUUCGAUGCAACGCGAAGAACCUUACCUGGUCUUGACAUCCACAGAACUUUCCAGAGAUGGAUUGGUGCCUUCGGGAACUGUGAGACAGGUGCUGCAUGGCUGUCGUCAGCUCGUGUUGUGAAAUGUUGGGUUAAGUCCCGCAACGAGCGCAACCCUUAUCCUUUGUUGCCAGCGGUCCGGCCGGGAACUCAAAGGAGACUGCCAGUGAUAAACUGGAGGAAGGUGGGGAUGACGUCAAGUCAUCAUGGCCCUUACGACCAGGGCUACACACGUGCUACAAUGGCGCAUACAAAGAGAAGCGACCUCGCGAGAGCAAGCGGACCUCAUAAAGUGCGUCGUAGUCCGGAUUGGAGUCUGCAACUCG
rnacentral:rRNA from 1 species